UUUAUUUUUUCUGUUUGUCUUCACGGGUAACCGCUCACGAGGAGACGACGGAUGAGAAAGAGGCGAGAGAGAGAGAGAGAGGCCGUCUUCGGCGAUCGAUCAAAGCUACGCGUCAGGAGACGGCGAGAGAUGGACACCAACCCCUGGCAGAUAUCUUGAUGUGAGCACUAUCAUUUCAAGGAGUCGGGCAGUGGACAGAGCCUUGAUGGUGUUCUUGAAGCGGUAGCAGCCCCACACACACACCGCCCAUAAUGGGGUACCGGAAUGGACCACAUCACGAGCGGUGGAAUCUAUUGGGCAUUGCUCCGACCUCAGUAGCCCCAUCUAAUUCUAAUUUUUUCUGUGAAAUAAAAAAGAAA